GUUGAUCCCGCCGGAGGCCACUGCUAUUGGAGUUCGACUAAGCCAUGCGAGUUCAGGGGGGCUUUGCCCACCAGCGGACGGCUCAGUAACACGUGGACAACCUACCCUCAGGAGGGGGAUAACCCUUGGAAACAGGGGCUAAACCCCCAUAGAUCAUGGAUGCUGGAAUGCACCGUGGUUGAAAUUCCUUCGGGAGCCUGAGGAUGGGUCUGCGGCCUAUCAGGUUGUAGUGGGGGUAAUGGCCCCACUAGCCUAUGACGGGUACGGGCCCUGAGAGGGGGAGCCCGGAGAUGGACUCUGAGACACGAGUCCAGGCCCUACGGGGCGCAGCAGGCGCGAAACCUUCGCAAUGCAGGCAACUGCGACGAGGGGACUCCAAGUGCCUACGCACAGCGUAGGCUGUUCUUAAGCCUAGAAAGCUUGGGGAGUAAGGGCUGGGUAAGACGGGUGCCAGCCGCCGCGGUAAUACCCGCAGCCCARGUGGUGGCCGUUUUUAUUGGGCCUAAAGCGUCCGUAGCCGGUUUGGUAAAUGCCUGGGUAAAUCAUGGGAGCCUAACUUCAUGAAUUUCCGGGUAGACUGCCAGACUUGGGACCGGAAGAGGAAAGGGGGUACUUCAGGGGUAGGGGUGAAAUCCUGUAAUCCCUGGAGGACCACCCGUGGCGAAGGCGCUCUUCUAACACGGAUCCGACGGUGAGGGACGAAAGCCAGGGGAGCAAACCGGAUUAGAUACCCGGGUAGUCCUGGCCGUAAACGAUGUGGACUUGGUAUGUGGAUGGUCAUGAGCUGUCCAAGUGCCGUAGGGAAGCCGUUAAGUUCACCGCCUGGGGAGUAUGGUCGCAAGGCUGAAACUUAAAGGAAUUGGCGGGGGAGCACUGCAACGGGAGGAGCGUGCGGUUUAAUUGGAUUCAACGCCGGAAAACUCACCGGGGGAGACUGCCGCAUGUGAGCCAGGCUGAAGACCUUGCUCGAAUAAUAGGUAGAGAGGUGGUGCAUGGCCGCCGUCAGCUCGUACCGUAGGGCGUUCUGUUAAGUCAGGUAACGAGCGAGACCCCUGUCUUUAGUUGCUAUCUGUGCCUCUGGGUGCAGAGCACACUAGAGGGACCGCUGGCGCUAAGCCAGAGGAAGGAGGGGGCAACGGUAGGUCAGUAUGCCCUGAAUCCUUCGGGCUACACGCGCGCUACAAAGGCUGGGAUAAUGGGUUGCUACCUCGAGAGAGGACGCUAAUCCCUAAACCUAGUCAUAGUUCGGACCGAGGGCUGUAACUCGCCCUCGUGAAGGUGGAUUCCGUAGUAAUCGCGUCUCAACAUGGCGCGGUGAAUAUGCCCCUGCUCCUUGCACACACCGCCCGU
rnacentral:rRNA from 1 species